rnacentral:rRNA from 1 species
AGCGAACGUUUGCGGCGGGCCUAACACAUGCAAGUCGAACGCACUAGCAAUAGUGAGUGGCGCACGGGUGCGUAACACGUGGGUAAUCAACCCUUCAGCUUGGGAUAACGACUUGAAAGGGUCGCUAAUACCGGAUACGGCGCGGGAGGCUUCGGCUUCUCACGAGAAAGCCUCGCAAGGGGCACUGAAGGACGAGCCUGCGGCCCAUCAGCUAGUUGGUGAGGUAAGAGCUCACCAAGGCGAAGACGGGUAGCUGGUCUGAGAGGAUGAUCAGCCACACUGGAACUGAGACACGGUCCAGACUCCUACGGGAGGCAGCAGUGGGGAAUAUUGCGCAAUGGGCGAAAGCCUGACGCAGCCACGCCGCGUGAGCGAUGAAGGCCUUCGGGUCGUAAAGCUCUGUGGGAGAGACGAAGAAAGACCCGUGAAGAGCGGGCCUUGACGGUAUCUCCUUAGCAAGCACCGGCUAACUCCGUGCCAGCAGCCGCGGUAAU